AUUAAAAACAACACCAAAGGCAUUCAGGACCCUCAUGUUUAUGAAAGGAAAUUGCCUUUUUUUCAGAGGUGAAGUCAAGGCAAAAAUGCUGAACUAUUUCAAAGACAGAUGAAGCCCUGAGGCAGCAAUUACCGACUUUGAAGCACAGCACACUUGGUAAAGAUUCUGACACAGCUAUAGAAGGCAGAGCAAUAUACAGAACCCGUACUGAAGGUGCUCAUCAGCAUAAGAGACUGCCCCCAUCAGACACAUGUAUAGGGGCCACCCUGCUCCAGCACACUGAUUUACCAACCGUGCCAAGACAUGAGGCUUGGGCAUACUUUGAACUUCCAAUUACUGUCAGAUUGGUGGACCAAUCACCUCCAACACUUCCAGCCCAGGUCCUCAUAAGCUCAGCAGUGAAGUACUGAUGAAUGAUGCUGACUCACAGGAAAAGUCUGGCUUCUGGAUCUCCCCACAGUGGCCUGUGCAUGGUGCUGGCUCACAGGGAGGGCUUGCUUCUUGUUGACUCAUCUCAUCUUUAUAGGAGAAAAAAUAGGAAUUUGUCAUUUGUCUAAACUCCAGCUGGAUUUGAAUCUGAACCUACCUAAUUUUACAUCUUAACCUUAGCCCCUAUGCUCUUUUGGUAUUUAACUGAAGCUAAAUUAAGUGUUUUUAGAAGCAUAGGAAGCUGGAUUAUGAUGCAGACUAUUUGUACUCUGGGCUGGUUCUGCUACACCAGUUGUUUGAUCACUAGCAGGUGACUUAAGGGAGCUUGUUAGCUGUUAAAUAAAAUGACAAAUUAUAAGAUAUUUCAUGUCUUCUAGUUCAGUGGUUUUGUUUCUGUUAAUAUUUACUAACCACUAUGUGGUCAUGAAUAGGCAUAAAAAUAAGUUUAAAAAACUUAAAGUAAAUUUAAAAUAAAAUUCAAAUAUAAAGAGAACAGUUUGAUAUUAUAAUAAUUCCUCCUCAAAGGAAAAUAUGUAGUUAUGUUAUGUCAUUUUACACCCCAUACCAAAAAGAAUCCAGAAAUGUUCAUUAAGCAGUCAGCACAUAUGUUUCAGUGUUUGGUGGCUAUGUCAGUAAAUAAAUUCUAUUCACUGACCAGUGGUAGAUAUAUGUACUGAUUUCCUGGCUCAGCAUUGCAAAAAGGUUGACCACAUAAGAGUGUCUAUUAUCUUUAUUCAAUUUAUCCUGAGAUAUUUAGAGGGAAAAAUUAACAUUGUGUCAGGGCCUGAAUUUGGAUGUUAGAUUUCAUUUUUUCUUAGAGAAUUGGAACUCCAUCUCUUAUCUCAUAGGUAAUAGACCAGCCCGUUUCUCAACCACAUUUAGAAUGGACCCCCUCCAUACCAGUUAUUUUGCCAGCCCAGCCCCGCCCCCUCAUUUAUCCCUCCACCCUUGUCUGCCUUGCUGUGUCUCUGGAGGCUGAAACUUGCUGACAACACUCUAUGACUCUAAGGAGGAAUGAAGGACACCUUAGAGCAGACGGUGUGUGUUUCCUCCCGGCUUCUGGCCAGUGCUGCAUCUCUCAUAGUAGCUGCGUUACAUUUCAGUUAUACUUUCUGCUGGGUGGUCUUUCCUCCGCAGCUCCAGAUCUUACUCAAUUCUAUUUUUUUUCUCUGCUAUUUUAGCCACAGGGUGGAGAUUGGGGCAGUCCCCUUUUUGUAUGUGGUCUCUUACCAUAUUUUGUCAUUUUAUAUAUAUACAUAUAUAUUUGAGUUAACAGUUUCUUUGUUCAAAUUGUCAAGGAUAAAUUGUGAUGCUUUUU